rnacentral:lncRNA from 1 species
UUUUUUUUUUUUUUGUCAGCAACAAUACAUUUGUAUAAUCUAUUCUAUCAUAAUCUAACGGGGAGGGGAAGUCUAAGGAGGCUGUGAUAGGACCUAGUGGAUAUACAGACUCAACUAGAUUAAGGGAGUGUUAUGACACAACUCUUAGAUUUUUUUCGCUGUAAGUGAGGUUUGAACCCUCACCUGGAUGAUCCAUUCAUUGGACAGUAUUUUUAUUUUUAUUUUUUUGGUGUGCAUACGGAUUCUUGUUGUCCAAAUUUUGUACUUGCAAGACUUUUUGGUUCCUGGAUGACGUUUCACAAUAUAAAGUUCAUUUCCACGCCUCUUUACUGCCUUAUCCUAUUCUUAUUAAUUUAAUUAGGAAUUCAUCAAAAUUGGUUAUAAUGAUUGGUUAGAAUGUAAUCCAAUAAAUCUAAUACAAAGAUAAUGCGAUAAGAAAGGUCUGAUUCAUAAUGCUUAAAGAUUAUCUCAAGCCCCUACCAAUCAAAGAAAAAAGAGUGAUUUUUUUCCCAUUUCCAUAAUGUGUAAAAAAUUAGGCAAUAAAAAUUUCAUUCUAUAAUUAGGAUAGAAAUUGGAGCAGAAAAUUUGAGUGGAAAUGAAAAAGAUUGAGAAAAAAAAAAGAGGAAAAGGGAAGCAACUUGGGUGAGGAGUCCUUGAUUAAGGCCAAAUAUGAAGAAUUAGAUUUGAGUUCAAGUCUCUUCCUUCCUUCCUGCUUCUCAAGUUUCACCCUUUUCUAUUGAAUUUUUUUUUUUAAAAAAAAGCAACUUGAGUUUAAACAGUUGAUAAUGAUGAAUUUAGUACUUGACAUAGGUUUAGAUCCCAUUUGAGGUUGCGGUACUUUUGGUUAAAAAAAGCAUUUUUAUGUGCUAAUUAAGGCAUUUUAUAAAUAUUAUCCCAUAAAAUUAGAAGUUGAGCUUUUGGUGUUAAAAACAAUUUUAGCAAAAAUAUAAAAAAUUGGUGCUUUUAGAGUAACUUUUGUGAUUUAAAAAAUAAAUAUUAAAUUUAAUCAUUUUAUCCUAUAUUAUGAGCUCAAUAAAGAGAUAAUACUGACGGGUUUUUGAUAUGUGUACAAGUUUAAAUCUAAUUUAUAUCCAUUUUGACUGCAAAUAUAUAGGUCAAAUUAGUAGUUUAGGGCAUAUAUCGAGUCAAUCCCACGAGAAAAAUUGGACAAUUAUCGACAUUACUAAAGUUUCUCUAUUAUUUAGACGAUCAAUGAAUUAAAAGAAAUAAAACUAUGUUAAACUUAUGCAAAAAAAUAACAAAUGAAAAUUUCUUACAUUACGGUAUUCCUAACUACUCAUACAAGGGCUAUUUUUGGAUUAUUGAUUCCUAACUAUCUUGGCAAGUCAUGCUGUAAUUUUCUAAUACGUGUGAAAUCUACUCUCGUAAUGAAUCAACUAUACUUAUAACUAAUCCAUACCUACUAUCAUGGUUAUGAAAUUAAUUAUAAGUUCAUUUAUUCUACGAAAUUACAUGAAAUGAAUCACUAAAGCUACAAAGGUGCAAUUCUAUUCUCGUGAGUGCACUCCCUAGAUUUAGCACUUCUUGAACUAGUGUUAAAUCUCAAUUUUUAUUGAAGAAACAACACCUUUAGAUAAUCACAAUUAAUGGUACCAAGUUAAUCAUGAUUUAAAGAGCUAAAUAACUUAAAAUAAUAGCAUCAAAUAACCAAAUAAUAAAUACUAACAAUCAUAAAGAGUUCAAUCAAACCCAAGGCAUAAACUUUAGAAACAUAUAAUAAACAUAGAAUUCAAACUUGUAUAUUAACUAAACAAUAGAAUUAAGUACAAAAGAUAAAGAGUUUGGAAAGAAAUGUAACUCUUGUCACAUAAGCUCAUCUACUCCAUCUUCGUCUCCUUCUUCAUCUUUGCCUAGCUAAUGAAUAAGAAGGAUGGACUAUCUAAUUAAACAAUCCUAUACUAUUCUAACCUAACACUAAGAAAAUAUAAGAGCUACAUUUUAGUAGUAUUUCUUGCACUCUUCAAGCUCUCUUGAUUUUUGCAACUCCAUGGCUAUUUAUAAAAGAAUUUUGUCAAGAAAUGAGGCUUCAAACAUCACUUUUAUAGCUGCAAAAUAGUUGUCACAUAUCCAUCAAUAGCUGUGAAUUAUUGGAGGAGAAAACAAGUUGUGCAAGUGGAAAGCCAUAAUUUCUGAUCAAAAUCCGGCCAAGAAUCCGUUUAGAAACUGGUCGGACAUACGGCCGGAUUUCUCCUCUGCUUUGCUUCUCAAUUUUUGUUCAGUCUUCAAUAUUGUUCCAAUUUUGCAUUAAUUUCAACUGAACUUUUCUCAAUGAUAAAAGUUGAAUUAACUCUUUACCAAAACAUAAGACUUGUAACCCUAUGAGUUAGCUUGCCAAUGUAUUAAGAAUCAUCUCAUUUGAAUUUGUGUAAGCUGAGAAAUGAUUGAAAUACCCUUAACUGCUCAAUGCUAUGUUUCAGGUUCGACCAUAGAAAUUGGCAACUGUAAUUUGGCUUUUUGACUUGGAAAACCUUUAAAUAGGAUUUCGAUGUCUCAUAGAAAAUGUAGAUCUAUCUCUUAUCCUCAAAAUGGUUCAAGAAUCAUUUCAAUCCGAUGUUUGUAACUCAAGAUAUUGCUGAAAUACUAAAAUGUGUCAAAACUAUCAACUUUCCUUUUUCAUCCAAAUAAAGUCUAUUUCCAACUCCUAUAAAAAAAAUUAUAGAUAAAAUGCAAGUAAAAAGGGACAUAAACCUCAUUUAAUCACUUAAAAACAUUUUAAACUAAUUAUUGCCAAAUGUAAUCCAUUUUCUUCCUAUCAUAUUGCUAAAGUGACUAAAAAUAAUAUAAAAUGUCAUUCAAAUAUAGCUCAAAUUAGUUACUUAUCAAAUACGUUUAAAAAAUUUUAAAUCAUGCAUUAUUUAAUACAAUAAGUACUCAUUGAACUAUAUUUCAAAUAAUAUAUUUAAAAGCACUUAAAAAUUCUAAGGGGAAAAAUCUAACAAAAUCUAAAAAAAAAAAAUCUACAAAGAACAUUUGAUCAUUAAGCAACUAAGGGAAAAAAUAAAAAAAAAAUGAAAAUAUACUAAAGGAAGUAGAAGACAAUAACAAAAAAGAUUCUUAUCAAAUUUAAAUAUCUUGGAGAGGCAAGCUAUCAAUAUUGGCUAUUUGCUCCUAGCUCCACUUGUUUUGGUCAAUUAUUCAAGUGUUCAACUAUGACGUUCUUCAGUAUUGUGGACUUCACGAACACCAAUCUGGAAAGAAGAAGUUGCAGGUCCUGAGUAGGCUUUCACAAGAACUUUCAAAUGUUUGAGGUACCUAAGAAUCUUACAAGUCCCGGUCCGAUGUGACAGAACCUUGCAAGUCAAAGAAAUACAGCAAACGAAGCGGAAAAAAUAUUAAUAAAUAUUAAUAAGACGCCCAUAUGUUUUACGAAUCAAACCUGAUGUAAUAAAGGUCAGAGUAAAAUAAAGCAAACGAUUUGCCCACAAUUGAAGAAAAAUCUUUCCACUUCAUUUUUUGUUCCAAGUACAUAGCAAACGAUAUGGCAUAGCUUUUAGUAUAAUUGUAUUUAACUACUAGUGGACAAAGUUGUCGAAUGUAUUUGACUAUUAGUGGACAAAUUUGUCGAACAACUAUGACCAAAGAAAGAGCUGGACAAUAACUGUUGUCAUUUCAUAGUUAUACUUAUUAACAAGAAAAAUAGGAUUCUAUCUUUUAUAUGACAAUUAGAAUUUUGCCAUCAAAUUCUAAGUACAUUAAAAGGUCAAGAGAAGCAAGAUAAAAUGGUAUGAAAAAGACUAUCAAAUUCUUAAAUAAACCACAUGAUCUACCCAAAAAUUUUCCUAUCUACGAAACCUUUCUCACAUACAAAGAAUUAAGCUCCUCUCCAUUAACUGAAAAGGAUUUUAAUGUAUAUACAAAAAUAAAUUGAUUAAAUUUUACCAUUAGAUCAAACUUUAAAACUUUUAUUGUUAUUUUGAACUAUUUUCUGCUGUCCAAAUAUUUUGUUCAAAUAGAAUAACAAACAUGUUCAUAGAUAAGUUUGAUUUUUAAUUGCGUUGAUCUACUUGUGAAAAUAAAACUAUUCGCAUAAACAUAUUACUUUCUGAAAAUUUAUUUGUAUGGAUAUAAAUAUAUAGAAGAUUCCAAUAUCACUGCUCAAAAAGUGAACGACCCUAGGACCUUCGAUGUCGUACUCGAACAACGGUGCCUUAAUUGAUGUAUUGACGUAAUCAUCCCUCUGGUCCUGCUUUACUGAAUUUUCUACGGUAAAAGAGCUUGAAAAACUAGUAUAAAAAGAGAACACCAGCACAGCCAAAUGCAUGAUCAUAUAUCACAUGGCAUCGAUCAAUCUUGAUUUUUCAUUUUUCUCAAUUUUUUCCUUGCUCAUAUUCCUUCUACCCCUUCUCAAAUGGUUCUAUGCUGCUUCUAAACCCCAUAAAAAGUUACCACCAUCUCCACCAAAGCUCCCAAUUAUUGGCAAUCUUCACCAGCUUGGCCAGUUUCCACAUCGCUCCCUCCAAUCACUGUCAAGAAAAUAUGGUCCACUCAUGCUGCUUGAACUGGGAAGCAAGCCAAUGCUGGUUGUCUCUUCCUCUGAUGCAGCUUGCCAGAUCUUGAAAACCCAUGAUUUAUCCUUUGCAAGCAGGCCUAAAUCUGGCAUCCCAGAUAAACUCUUUUACGGAAGCAAGGACAUAGCUUUUGCACCAUAUGGUGAGUAUUGGAGACAACUAAAAAGCAUUUCUAUGCUUCAUCUUUUGAGUAACAAAAGGAUUCGGUCUUUUCAACAUGUCAGAGAAGAAGAGACGUCACUCAUGAUCGAGAAGAUCAGCCGAAUGUGUUCUUCCUCAGCUGUAAACUUAAGUGACAUGUUUUUAAUUCUCACAAAUGAUAUAAUCUGUAGGGUUGCCUUGGGGAGGAAGUAUAGCGAGGAAGAAAAUGGGCGGAAAAGUAUGGAGAAUUUGAAGGUGUUUGGUGAGUUACUGGGUAUUUUUGAUGUAGGAAACUAUAUUCCUUCGCUUGCAUGGGUUAAUCGCUUCAAUGGUUUGGAUUCUAAAGUGAAGAAAACAGUUAAACAGAUUGACGGAUUUCUUGAGGGUGUGAUAGAAGAGCACAUGAAUAAGAGGAAAGGAAAGGCUGAAAGUCACUCUACUAGUGAGGCAAGAUGCCAAGACUUUGUAUAUAUCUUGAUUGAGAUUAAUGAGGAAAAGACUAUGGGCUUUGCUCUUGAACGAGAUGCUAUGAAAGCUAUCAUCCUGGUAAAUUUCUCUCUCCAUCUCUUUGUAUUGGUAGUAAAUCUUUGGGAUUGAGGCAAGUAUGGUAGAUUUUGGUGUAGUUGCAUACGGUCGUUUUAUUCUUACUUAUUAAAUUUGGUAUACACUUAUAUCUCACUAAAUUGGCAUACGCAAGUGAUCUUUAUAUAAGUUAUAUUAGUAUAAAUCAAAUUACGUAAGAAAUCAAUAGUUGUACAACAUAUAAAUCACAAUCGAACUUGUGUCAAAUUCUAAAUCUUUUACCUGUUUUAACCACUCAAACAUAUAAAUAUUUAAGUGUGUUGAGUUAAGCCUUAUGAAGCCCGGAUUGAUGAAGACAAAUUGAUACCCCUUGUCAUAAGACUCAUAACCUUCAAGAGUUUUAAAGGUUGUGAAUGGAGUAAUAAUUGGGUUUUGUUAAUCGAAGGUUUGACAAAUCUAAACUCAAUCCAUUUAAAUAUUCAUAUAUACGUUAGAAUUAUAAAAGCUCACAAACCUUAGGCUCUUUAUUGGUCUAUGAGCCAGCCCAAGCUAGCUUACAUUUAUUGAUUUUUAAAAUCAUUUCAUUGAUAAAGUUUGAUUACUGCAUGGUUUUGAAUAAAGUUGGAUUGGUACAUAAUAGAAAUAAAGGCUUAUUGCCAUUGUAUAAACGAAACAUGUUCUAAUGCAACACUUUCUUUGAUUCCAUUAUUUAGGAUGUCUUUGGUGCUGGAUCUGAUACAACACAUUCAGUUAUGGAUUGGGGAAUGUCAGAACUUCUAAAGAACCCCAAAGUCUUGCAUAAAUUGCAGGCUGAGGUAAGAGAUGUGACUCAAGGAAAACCAGAAAUAACUCGAGCUGAUAUGGAGAAAAUGCAGUACUUAAAAGCAGUGAUUAAAGAAACUAUGCGACUUCAUACUCCAGUUCCAUUACUGGGUCCUAAAGAAUCGAAUCAAGACGUCAAAGUAAUGGGGUAUGACGUACCAAAGAACACGCAGGUACUUGUGAAUGCUUGGGCAAUUGCAAGAGAUCCGUUGUUGUGGGAGAACCCGGAGGAAUUUCGACCUGAGAGGUUUUUGAGUUCGAGUGUAGAUUUUCAUGGUUUGAACUUUGAGUUAAUUCCGUUUGGUGCUGGACGAAGAGUUUGCCCGGGUAUCAACUUCGCCAUGUCAGUAACUGAACUUGCAUUGGCAAAACUGGUCAACACAUUUAACUUUACAUCACCUGAUGGAAUCAAUCCAAACGAGUUGGACAUGACCGAAUCAUUUGGUAUCACAGUCCACAGAAAAUUUCCUCUGCAUGUCAUUGCCACACCAUAUUCUUUCUAAUAUCUUUGUUUAUGAUGUAACUAUAGUGAUGGGUUAUUGUAUACUAUGCCCUGAGGAUACCGAAUAAGGGGUGGGUUAAGAUGUAACUAUAGUUAAUAAUGAUAGUUAAGUUAUCUACAAUUUACUGAUAAUGUUGGAAUUUCGUAGUGGCUUAGUCCCUCUUUUUGGUGUGAUUAUCAUGGGUUCAGCCACAUAUUUACCGUUCUUAUAUAGUGAUAUAAAUUUACCAUUCUUAUAGUAACGCAUUGAUCCAAGUUACCAUUGGCGUGUUAUGGUAUCGAAUAGUAGCCAGGCAACAGAAUAGCUCCCAGUGGACAGAUAUAAUGAAUUUAGCACAAACAAGAUGAAUAACAGGAAGUAUCAAUAAUUGAACUAAUGAAUGAUCAAUGAACUGAUAUUGAUAUUUGAUUAAACAAGAAAUUACAGAUUUGGCGGGAUGAAGAAAAGAAAUGAUAGAAUGAAGGAAAAUCAGAAGAGAAAGGUUCAGGGAAUGAUCCCUUACAAAUUGCUAACAAUAAUCCUCCCUUUUCCUCUACUAUUCCUGUCUACAUAUAGAGCUAGCUAAUAACAAACUCCUUCCGCGUCCACCCAUCCAGUUUGGCCAUGUGAAUAGCUAACUGAAUCUGUUUGCAGAGCCACUUGCUGUUGAGCUCACGCUGCUUGAGCUUGUUUCCAGCAAAGGCGUGUUUCUAACCUUACGCCUUUGUUUUCUGCUUCUUCCUCCUGCUUCACGCUUUCCUCUCCUAAUGCACGCCUUCCUCCUUCUUAGUGGACGUGAUAUCAGUUUUCACGCUUCCGGCUUCCCUUCUGUUAUCUUCACUAAGGCGCGAUACUAAGUUCACGCCUUCAGCCUUAUUUCUGCUCCAUGACAAUUGCUUCCCCUUCAAUCAAUCUUGUCCUCAAGAUUGAAAUCCAGGGAAUUCCUGUUCAAUUCGUUCAGCAUCCUCCCAAGUAGCUUCAGCUGGUUGAGUACCCCACCAAUGGAUGAGCCAUUGCACAGUUGCAGCAUUUUUCCUUUUAACAAUUCUUCGGUCUAACACUGCUACUGGCUCCACUCUGAGAUGCCCCUGUUCGUCUACAUUUGGCAGUUGGAGUACAGGGGUGGUAUGGUCCCCCACCUUCUUUUUUAGUAAGGAUACAUGAAAUACUGGAUGUAUCUUGGCUCCUUCAGGCAACUUAAGUUUAUAGGCAACCUUUCCUAUCUUCUGCAAUACUUGAUAAGGCCCAAAGUAUUUGGCAGACAGCUUGGUGUUGCCCCUUAGUUCCACAGUAGUUUGCCUAUGAGGUUGUAAUCUGAGGUACACCCAGUCUCCUGCAUUGAAGGUCCUUUCACUCCUCUUUUGGUCAGCAUAUAGCUUCAUUCUGUUUUGUGCUUCUUGUAAGUUGCUUUUAAGUAGUUCAUCCAGUCGUUGUCUGUUCUUCAGAUGGUCUUCUACAGUAGCCACCUUGGCUUGAGUGUAAGGCCCCAGAGCUAGCUGGGGAGGGGGUAUUCCAUAUAGGGCUUCAAACGGGCUCAUUUGAAUGGCAGUGUGAUAGGUGGUGUUGUACCACCAUUCUGCAAGAGAAAGCCAAGCAUUCCAUCUUUUAGGUUCCAGAUGAGUCAUGCACCUCAAGUACAUUUCUAGUACUUGAUUCACCCUCUCAGUUUGGCCGUCUGUUUGGGGGUGCUCAAUUCCAGUUUAGUUCCCAGCAGGGAGAACAUCUCAGUCCAGAAUUGGCUAGUGAAUACCCUGUCUCUAUCAGAGAGCAUACUGAGAGGUAUUCCAUGCAGUUUGCAGACAUGGUCUAAGAAUAUCCUGGCCACUGUUGGGGCAUCAAAGGGAUGAGACAAACUAAUAAAGUGAGCUGACUUGGUGAACCUGUCCACAAUUACCAUGAUGGUAUCCUUCCCUUCAGAUAAAGGUAGCCCCUCAAUGAAGUCCAUAGUGACAUGGCUCCAAGAAUAUUUGGGAAUAGGGAGUGGCUGCAGGAGUCCUGGAUAGGCAGUGUGUUCAUCCUUGCACUUCCUGCAGGUAUCACAUUGUAACACAAUAUUCCUGAUGUCCCUAUACAUACCUGUCCAGUAAAAAAGUUGUUUAGCUCUGAAAUAGCUGGCCUGCACUCCUGAAUGUCCUCCUAGCUGCGACUCAUGUAAUGUAGCAAUAAUUUUCUUCCUUAUUUCCCCUGCUGAGCCAACCACUAUCCUGCCUUUGUAUCUGAGUAUUCCAUCCUGGUAAGAAUGUUCUGGUGGAUUUCCAGGUGUGAGUACUAUCUGCCUGAUCAUGUUCUGCACCUCCUCAUCCCCUUGGUAGCUCCCUAUUACUUCCUUCAUCCACUCGGGUAGGACACAGGUUAGUUCAGUGCAAUCUCCUUCCUGUCCACCUGCCCUUCUGGAUAAAGCAUCUGCUGCUAUAUUUUCCUUUCCUUUCCUGUACUGAAUCUCAUAGCUGAGUCCCAGCAAUUUGGUGAGCCAUUUCUGUUGAAGUGAGGUAGUGAUUCUUUGAUCCAAGAGAUACUUAAGGCUCUGAUGGUCAGUUCUUAUGAUGAAGUGGUUCCCCUCCAGGUAGUGUCUCCAUUUAGUAACUGCAGUCACUAAGGCUAACAAUUCUUUCUCAUAAAUAGACAUUCCCAGGUUCCUUGGUGCCAGGCUUUGACUUAGGAAUGCUAUUGGCCUCCUGUCCUGCAUAAGUACUGCUCCAAUUCCUCCAUAGCAUUCAUCUGUUUCUAUCACAAAUUGCUUAGUGAAAUCUGGCAGAGCUAGUACAGGAGUGCUGCACAUUGCCAGUUUGAGUUUCUGAAAAGCCUCAUCUGCUGCUUCAUUCCAGUGGAACCCAUCCUUCUUUAGUAAUAUGGUGAGAGGUUUUGCAGUAGCCCCGUACCCUUUUACAAAUCUUCUGUAAUAUCCUGUCAGUCCAAGGAAUCCUUUGAGCUCCUUGACAGAAGUUGGUGUGGUCCAGUUCAUCAUUCCAUCCACCUUCUUGGGAUUUGCCCUUACUCCUUGUCCUGAGAUAAUGUGGCCAAGGUACUCCACCUCUGUUUGUACGAAAGAGCAUUUACUUUUCUUGGCAUACAGUUGGUGUUCCUGCAAUAGAUUCAAUACUUCUGCUACCUGCUGCAGGUGUAUUUCCAGGGAGGGGCUGUAGAUUAGUAUGUCAUCAAAGAAGACCAAGACAUACCUUCUCAGUUGAUCCCUGAAAAUGUGGUUCAUAAGGCUCUGGAAUGUUGCUGGAGCAUUUGUUAGCCCAAAGGGCAUAACCUUGAAUUCAUAGAGGCCUUGGUGAGUUCUAAAAGCUGUUUUGUGUAUGUCCUCCACCUUGACCCUGAUCUGAUGAUAACCAGCCCUCAAGUCAAUUUUGGUGAAGUAUUUUGAGCCAUGCAGUUCAUCCAGAAGCUCAUCUAUUAGGGGCAUAGGAAAUUUGUCCUUCAUGGUGAGUUCAUUCAGUUGUCUAUAAUCUACACAGAACCUCCAGCUACCAUCUUUUUUCUUGACUAGUAACACUGGGGAUGCAAAAUGACUAUUACUGGGUUGGAUGAUUCCCAUUUGUAACAUUUCUUUCACCAACCUCUCUAUUUCUGUUUUUUUGUACAUAUGGGCACCUGUAUGGCCUGACCUGGAAUGGGGUAGCUCCUUGCUUCAGUGGAAUGCUGUGGUCGUGGCUCCUUCUAGGGGGCAUGCCUUGAGGUUCAGCAAACACUCCCUUAAACUGGUCCAGCAAACUCCUCAUUUCUGCUGGUAUUGCUUCAGUGUCCUCCUCCCCUUCCUCUAUCACACACAGCUGGGCAGAUAUUCCAUAUGUCUGUUUUUUCCUCCAUUUUGCUAAUUUACUCCCCUUGAUGGCCUUGAGCUUGAGUUUGCUGACUUCCCCCUUCAACUCCACUGGUUGCCCUCCUUGUAGGAACCUCAUGGAGAGCUGCCUGAAAUCAAAUUCAAUAGGGCUAUACCUAGCUAGCCAAUCUACCCCCAGAACCAUAUGACAGCUUCCCAGUUUCAAGGUAUUGAAUUGGUGUGUGAAUUGAUUACCCUGCAUUUCCCACUGUAUAGCUCCCUGCAAUUGCCUGGACUCUAAUUGUUCACCAUUGGCAACCCUGACUGUUAAUGGAUUUCCAAUAGUUGGUAGUUGUAUGGUUUCUGCCAAUCUUUCAUCAAUAAAACAGUGAGUACUCCCACUAUCUACCAGAAUUAAGAUCUCCACUCCUGCUAUCCUCCCUUUAAGUUUAAGUGUCUUAUGUUCAGUCCCUCUUGCCAAUGCAUGAAUGGACACUUCUAUGUUCUCAUUACUCAAUUCCCCUUCUGGACAGUCACAGAACUCCUCUGUGUCUUUCCCUGAUUCUUCUAAGGGUUCCCCUACCCCAAAAGGUUCAUCUAUCAAUAUGUAAUUCAGGUGAGCUUGUUUACAGACAUGUCCCAGGGUAUAUGGUUCAGCACACUUGAAGCAUAACCCCUUUUCUCUCCUGUAGCUCAGCUCAGAAGGACUAAUCCUUUUGAACUAGUCCACUGUACGGUUUAUAGGUCCAGCAUUUCUAUUGGAAAAAGGUUCUGGUCUUUUAGGUUGGAAGUUAGGCCACUUUUCUUUAGCAGGUGGAGGGAAAUUUUGUUUGUUAUUUGGUGGGACACUGGGUGGGGUGGAAUAUUUUUGCAUCAUUUUUCCUUGGCUUUUUCUAAGGGCUUCCAAGUUCUUCUCCUGCAGUCUAGCAGUUUCAAUGGUGUCUGCUAAAGUAAGGGGUCUGGUCAUCCUAACCAUGUUUACUAUCUCUUCUUUUAAGCCACUAAGAAAACAUGAUUUGUAAUAAGAAUCAGGUUGGCCAGGGAGAGUUACCAUUACUAUGGAUUUCAGCUGCUCGAACCUCUCCAGAUACUCAGAUACACUCCCAGUUUGCAUCAGUUUGUUGAAUUCCUCUAUGGCCUCCUCUGGAUCUCCUUCUCCAAACCUUUCACACACUGCCAUGGUUAGCUCCUUCCAGGGUACCAUUCCCCUCUCAUGAUACAUGCCAUGGAACCAGAUAUCUGCCUUCUACUUGAAAUGGAGCUGAGCAAUAUCUGAUUUCAUUCCUUCCUCCACUCCAUGGAUCUGGAAAUACUUGUUUGCCCUCCUAACCCAUUCUCUGGGAUUACCCCCAUCAAAUGUAGGAAAAUCCAUCUUGGGCAACCUGAUCCCCCCUUUACCUCCCAACCUCUCAGCUGUAUCUGUGGUAAUUUCUAUCCGUGUCUUCCUCUCAGAACUACUACCUCCUACUUCCUUCCCUUUGUCAUUUAACUUGGCCAUGAUCUGAGCCAUCAUGUUCAUCAUCCCCUCAUAUUUUUGGUCUAAGCUUCUGAUGGCUUUAUCUGUGUUUUCCUGUCUAUGCUCCAUUGCCCUCAUAGACUGUUCUACCCCAUCAUUCCUAUUGGCAAAAGUCCUAACCACACUCCCCAACUCAGUGAGCUCUUUCCUCAGAGCCUCCUCCUGAGUCUUAGUCAUCUCCCAAUGGCUCGUAGCUAGCUCUGGUACCACUGUUAUGGUAUCGAACAGUAGCCAGGCAACAGAAUAGCUCCCAGUGGACAGAUAUAAUGAAUUUAGCACAAACAAGAUGAAUAACAGGAAGUAUCAAUAAUUGAACUAAUGAAUGAUCAAUGAACUGAUAUUGAUAUUUGAUUAAACAAGAAAUUACAGAUUUGGCGGGAUGAAGAAAAGAAAUGAUAGAAUGAAGGAAAAUCAGAAGAGAAAGGUUUAGGGAAUGAUCCCUUACAAAUUGCUAACAAUAAUCCUCCAUUUUCCUCUACUAUUCCUGUCUACAUAUAGAGCUAGCUAAUAACAAACUCCUUCAGCGUCCACCCAUCCAGCUUGGCCAUGUGAAUAGCUAACUGAAUCUGUUUGCAGAGCCACUUGCUGUUGAGCUCACGCUGCUUGAGCUUGUUUCCAGCAAAGGCGUGUUUCUAACCUUACGCCUUUGUUUUCUGCUUCUUCCUCCUGCUUCACGCUUUCCUCUCCUAAUGCACGCCUUCCUCCUUCUUAGUGGACGUGAUAUCAGUUUUCACGCUUCCAGCUUCCCUUCUGUUAUCUUCACUAAGGCGCGAUACUAAGUUCACGCCUUCAGCCUUAUUUCUGCUCCAUGACAUGGCGUCGGCCUAGUGAUUACGGGAUGGCUCUUUGAAUUCUCUUCACUAUUAGAUUUAAGACUUAAAUUUUGUGCGUAACAAUUGAGAUUGAAAGGGCACGGGAAGGAGUAAGAAGGUAUUUAAAAAAAAUGUUAAUCCAAGUUCAAGCCGCUGCUGGUUCUAUUGCGACAUCAUUAGAUGGAGCCAAGAACGUUGCGAUGGUUGUUCAAGUUUUUGUGUUUGUUACCACUCGAUGUUUAGGACUUAUGAACAAAUCAUUACUGAUUACCCAUACCAUUUACGAAAAAGAUGGAUACCUAGCUGGGGGAUAUACAUUAUUAUUGGCAAGAAUUACAGUUCAAUGAGCUUCAGGAUAAUACGUACAUUUAAUAGGAGACCACAAAUGACGAUUAAUGCAUCAGGCAAAGGUUCAACACCAACCCACUGUUUUCUUCCUUGAAGAACUGAAGUCCAGGUCUUGUGUCUUGAUGAAGCAUAGUUAUGAGAUUAAGAUCAUAGUGUUCUGGCAUUCCCAGUCUAAGAACACCUGAACUUUGGUUAGCUCACCUUCAAUGUAGCCUAUGAGUCCCAAUCCUUCACAAAUCAGAUCCAAAAUCCUCAAGAGAAACUUCCGUGCUUCAAAAAAGGUUGUAUGAAUUGUGGUGCUAAUCAUUGUAAGGGAAUUGUUGACUUCAUUCUUAUUUAAAUAAGUUGGGUCAUACGUAGAGGCUUUUACCGAUAUCUGGUAGGCUUUUCGGGCAAAGAUUGAAUGUAAUCCUCCACAGGAUGGCAACUGUGUGUGAUGUUAUCACUCCAGUAGUGAAAAUCUUCUUUGUGAUAAUUUACAGUGCUUGAGAAGAUUCUGCAAAUUUGGCUGAUGCCGCUGUCGUUGGAGUAGAAGCCUGGCAGCCUAAAGAAUUCCUGGAUAACAUUCAUUGUCUCCUCCAUUAAGCCUUCAAAAGCUCUAUGAAUAAUGGCCUGAACUAACAGCAUUUACUUAUGAGUAACAAGAUUGAUAAUGUGUUCCAAAUGAUGGUCUUAGACAAUCAUCAUCAAGGAUUAUGUUUAGUUUUUCAGUUCAAACAUUAUCAGUACUAUGAACCUGAAAGAAUCCAAAUUCUUGGCUUGAUUUCAUGAUAGGUUGCAAUUUUAUCAUUUAUUUUAUUAUUAAUUUUCCUUAUUACUUGACCCAAUGUGAAUUAAUUGAUGAAUUCUACUCACUUUUAGUAUUUGGCAUAUAUUUCAGGGAGUAGAACGAAAAUACCAUAAUAAGUGCCAAUUUGACAGUUAUCAGGAAAGAAUUUAAGAAGCAGGCAUCCAAGAUAUUUUUGGAAUAAGGAGACACAAGUCUUUUUUGAUAAUUUGCGAAAGAUAGAAUAAAAAGAGGAAAGGAACGAAGGGUUGGAGGGCUGCUUCCUCUUCCUCCGGAGUCCUCUCCGCAAGGGGGUCCGCCGCACAGAGCAGCCGCAAGGAGGUGGCAGACUUAGAUAGAAAAAAGAGAGGACUGCAGAUGGCUUUUACCUUUUUCCUUCAUCUUUGACUUUUCUUCUUUAGCUUGUAGUAGUGGAAAGCUUCUUACGAAAGUCUGGCAGCAUUUAGAAAUUCUUAGCUUUGACUUUUUCUUCAUGUUGAACACUUAGUAUUUCCUUUGCUCCCUUCGCAUGUCAUACGAAGUGAAACAGAGGAUUGCUUCGUGUAACUUUGCUAUCUCUUGAUUGGAACGGAUUAAAUUCUCAAAAAAUCAAUGACAAUGGCCGCGGCUCCCUCUCCAAUUUUACGUCAGUUUUUCAUAUCAAGUAUGAACUAAUUUUCCCACUCUAGUCAAGGGAAAACAGAGGUUUUGAUUCGUCUAAAAUUGUGAGAUCGAUUUAAUUUUACCUUUUUCUUUUGUUUAUUGGUAUUCGUAUAUUCCCUGAUUACAGUGCUUAUGAUUGUUUAAUUAAUUGAUUGUUUUGGAUCCGGAUAAUUAGUUAAUUUAAUAAUCUAUUGUCAAUUGAGGUAUUAAAUUCGUAAUUGUUUAAUUAUCUCAAAAUAGUGACAACUGGCAUGAUUAGAUAUGUGUCAGGGGAAUAUGCGGGUUAAUCUAAAAUAACCCUGGUAGUGCGUUAUUUGGUUAGAAUAGGGCUCCUCUAAUACGUAAGGCAAUUAGGGAAUUAAAUCUUAUGGGCGUACCUAGUAUUAUUUCUCAAUUAGGGCAGUGAUUAACGGGCGUACCUUAAUCAUCGACACAGUAAGGAGGGGUUAACUGUCAUCGCUUGUUUGGCAGUUAUAACCUAUUUAUUGGUAAAUAAUUGGAAUUGGCUUAGUAUCGAUGAUCAAUUAGGUGAACCAUUGCUGAAGUUAUUCCUUGGCUAGAUCCUUAAUUAUCACUCAUUAGAUUUUAGUAAUUUGUUAUUUAAUUUCUAGUUGGCUAUUUUAUUUUUAUUAUUUUUAGUUGAAUUGUUUAAAUUGUCACCCCUGAGAUAAAAACACCCCCUUGUCACUGUGAAUUUGGAAAGAAACAAUUACCCCCAGUUCCUGUGGAUUCGACCCUGCUUACCACUAUCUAUAGAAAUUAACUUUAGUUGAACAGGUUUUUAUUAUUGCACAGGCUGACAACCUGUCAUUUCAUAAUCAGCUCAAUGACUUCAGUUUGUUCAAGCCUCCAGCUUCCUCAAGGUCAAUGGUUGGAAUGUUGACGGGCAAAAUUGUUAUUCAAUUAUAAUUAUUGUUUCCUUGAUUUUAGCUAAAUAUUGUAUUAAUUAAUUGAUUCUACUUAUAUUUGAUAUUUGGUGCUAAUUGAGGGGAGGUGGAACAAAAAGUGACAAAAGAGGUGAUUUUUCAAUAAUUACUUUCAAGUCUAGAAGACUCAGGAAUUUAUCGCGCACGGAGAUUUCCUAGUUUGAGUUAAAUAUGGACAUCUUUGGUGGAAUUUGGAAGACUUUAAUUAUCUUUGUUAGUUGUAGAGUUGAAUUAGGAAACAUGAGUUAUUAUUGUUUUUAUUUCCUUUUUUUUCUAAUUAGGCAAUAGGCCUUUAUUAUGAGUAGUAGACGCGAAGUAGGAAACAAAGAAUAAGGGAAGCCGGAUUCCCGUUUGAUUAGUACUUCAUAGGGUAGAAACCAUAAAAAGAGGGUCGUGACUCUUUUGCUAGAAAGAAGAAGAACAGCCGCUUGGCCUUUCUGUUCGUCUUUUCUUGAGUUUUCUUCUUUUGCCGAACGUUCACGCAAUUUUCUUCAAUGGAAUUACUUGGGUUGUUCUCAAUAGAGAGUAGCUGAAUUUUUUUUUCUAGUCGAAGGUCAAUUUGGAGACUCGAUUCCAAACAUCUGUGAGAUCGAGUUAUUUUAUUUAUUUCUUUUAUUCAUUGGUAUUCGUACGUUUUUUGGUUUAACUUCUUAUGAUUGUUGUAUUAUUUCAAUGUUAAGAGUCUGACAUUCGAAUUAACCUAACAAUCUACUAUUAGAUUAACGGGUGGAAUCCGUAAUUAUUUGAUUGGUUAAUGCCAGUGGCGAUUAGCAUGAUUAGUCCCGUGUUAGGAAAACGUAUGAUCUAACUUAAAUAAACCCUCAUAGCGUAUUCAUUGGUUAGGAUUGGAUUUUUCUAAUUCUUAAUGCAAUCGAGAAAUUAAAUCCUACGGUCGUACCUAGGAUUGUUUCUUGAUUAGAGAAAGAAUCAACGGUUGUAUCUUGCCUGUCGACAAAGUAAGGAAAAGUUGGCUGUCAGAACUUGUUGAUAGCUAUAACCAAUUUAUUAAUGAGUAAUUGAAUUAUCUUUGCACCAAUGAUCAGUUGAAUGGAUCGUGUCUGAAAAGUUACACCUUUAACUAGAAUCAUAUCUACUGUUGAUUAACUCCUAUUUAUUUCCGUUAGUUGUUUUAUUAGUUGGUUAAUUAAGUUGUUUUUAUAUUUUCUAAAAUUCCCCCUAUUCAGGACUCUAGAAGAAACGAAUUAUCUCCAAUCCUUGUGGAUUUGACCCUACUCACCGUUAUAUAUAAAAGUUUAUAUUUAUCUUGAGUAGGUAAUUAUUAUUACACAGACUCAACACCUGUCAAUUUUUGGCGCCAUUGUUGGGGUCUGAUACAUAAUUAAUUUGUUUCUUUUGGAGUUCAUCUUAUUUUUAUUUUUAUUUUUUCUCUUAUUAUUAUUUUUUUUACUAGUUUAUGACUGCUAACAUUCAAUAUUUUUGUGAUAGAUUGGAUUUUAUUCCUAGGAGGAGUAAUGAGACUCGUGUAUUUUCUAAUGAUCAAUAUUUAGAUACACUAACCUUUUUUGGAGAAAGAUUGGCUAUUGCAACUUAUGGAUUCUAUUAUGCCUCAAAUCAUUCAAUUGAUAGGUGCCCCGUAUUUCAAGAUGGCCUGAAUGCCCCAAUCAAUACUUUUGGAAAAUUUUCACCCCGAUCUCAAACGUGGUAUGACCCUUAUUCAAAUGAAUAUGAUCAAGGAUGGUGAGAUAAUUUCAAUUUUAAUUAUGCGACAGGGCCAAUAGAUUUUCAACAACAAGAGGCUCAAGAACAUCAUCCACGUCAGGUAUGUCUCUUGAAGAAAUGAUUAAAUCACUAACUACUAACACAUAUUAUUUCAUCAAGAAACACAAAUGAACAUUCGUAACUUGGUGGAUCGAGUGCGUCUAUUGACAUCUAGAACAAUGCAAUUGCCUCCUCAAAUGUGUGAAGAAUUGCUCUUAUAGACUAUUAUCGAUCUUGAGAAAGAUGAGAGUACAAUUACCCUAACAUGUGAUAAGGAGCUGCAAGAGUCCCCAGGAGAAGGAUCUACAGAUGUAGUUGAAAAGGAAGUUGAGAAUGAACAAAUAAAACCCCAAUCUCUAAUUGUUCAAGUGGAUGAAUCCAGUGAACAAUUCUCAAAUAUAGUGACAUCUUCUCCAUUCUUUAGCCAACAUUACCCAGUCUAUUAUUCUAUAAUUUCUGCUAGUGCGAUUGAUUUUGGCAUAACAGAAAUUUUUGAGUUUCAUGACAAGAAUAAGUUAGGAGUUGCUAUAGCUAAAUAUCUUGAACCGAUAAGUGUUCGUGAUGGAGGAGCAGGUGAAGAAUUAAGCUCACUGUUUAACUGUUUGGUGCCAUCUACUAAUGAAUGGAAAAAAGCAACUAGUAUGCUUAAAAAUCAUUUUAUUUACGAGGGUUACCAUGAUUAUAUAGAGGAUGAAACAUUGAAAUGAGCUAUAAGAUUUUAUCCUCCGUGAACAAGCAUAGCAAUGUCUAGCCAAAGACAUUAAAGAAAGGUGCUUAUUGGAAGGCAACCCAAUUCAAUUUUUAGUUUAUUUUUAUUAUUAGUUUCAUUAUAUUUAUCUUAUGUUUUUCAUAUUUGGUGUGUUUAAUUUUUAUUUUUUGUUUCAAUGGUCAGAAGACUUCCUCCCGACCGCUAUGUUUUCAGAGUCGGACCGAACAUCGACUCGGCUGAGCUCAGGGGUCAAGGGUCAAUGGUGGUCAAUGGGUUCAAUCGGGGUCAUUCGGAGGUCGAACCGGGUGACGUCAUAAAUACAUCAUAUAUAUAUAUAUAUAUCUUUUUCCUGCAAAUCAAAUUUACAAAAUAUAACCAAAAACCAGUGAUCCAAAUCCAUAUCCAAUUCACCAAAUUGCACAUGUUUAAUUUGAACAUCCUUAAUUUGCUUCCAAAGAUUUUUAAGCAAUUUUGAGGAAGACUUUGUAGUACAUACUAAGCUAUACUUAGAUUGAUAUGUAUUCAGCUAUGAUACAUAAAGAUAAGAGAAAGCAAACAAGUAAAAGUCAGUUUAACACAUUCUCGCUACAUUUACAGAAUUUGAUGACAUCUUCAGUUGCAUGGUCAAUCAAUUGAGUCUUCUACAUGGUUAAUCAACCUUUGAACUGGCUUAGCAGUCUACUUCCGUCCUACCUCAGUUAAGGCAAAAGAGAAAAACAAAAACAAGAAUGCCAAAAAAAAAAAGAAAAGAAAAGAAAGUGAUAAGUGAAUGCUAAAUAUCAAUCUAGAACACUGAUUUCAACUUUCAAGCAACAUAAGAGGUAGCUUUUAACUUCAACGUCUAAAAUCUAAUUAGUGUCUAUUACUUGUGCCAAAAAAAUUUUAAAAAAAAGUAGUUAUCUAGUUUCUGUAAUUCCAACUAAAAGUAUAGACUAAAAGUAGCCAUCUUGAUUUCUGCAUAUCUCAGGAAGCAACAAUGGAGUUACCAAAAGAGAUGCAUCCCAAAAUUUUCAGUAACUUUGCAUUUCCUCGAACACAUAGAAAGCAACAAAUGAAAUCCAUUAAUUCAAAUAAAAGAAUUAAAGAAAAAGUCCCCAAUAAAGCUCUUGCACAUGUUUUGCCUGAAAUUUAACAAAUAGAUCAUAUGAAAUUAAAUUAGUGAGUGCUUCCACAUUACUGGUCAUUUACACUUUUCCCUUUCUUCUUAUACUUCAAUGAAUCUAUACAUCAAAAUUAGAUAGCAUUUACCCCAAUAAUGCAAUUCUGACUUUUAAAGGAUGCAUUUUUGUAGCACAAGCAAAUUUAUCUUCAAAAAGUGAACAUUUUAGUUUGCACCAAAUUAGUCAGUUGCAGAACAUUAACUUACUUGAUUAAACAAAUAUCACUCCAACCCUUUUUUUCAACCAACCUUCCCAACUUCUGCAACUCUGCCGAGGAUCGGAUGGAGAACCGGAGAAGAUAGCAGGAAUUGAUUCAGAAUAUAUAGGGAGUUAGGUUUGGACUCUUUGGACAAAGCAUAGGAGAGGAGACUGGAAAUUGCUGUAUAGCGCUUGUACUCUCUAGUAGGAACUUACUUGGGAAUUUCGGAUGUGCCGUCGGCAAUGGCGACAAAGAUCGGCGGCGGCAAGAAGAUAGAAACAAAGCAGUAGAGAUUUUAGAAAUUUAGGGCUAGAGUGAAAUGAAGUCCGGGGUGUCAAAUUAGGAAUUUGGCUUGGGAUAACUCGUGAAAGCCUGAAAAGUCAACAAAAGACAAAUUUAAAAAAAAAAACACCGAUUCUUGCCAGUUUUAAUGGUUCACGGUUCAACCCAAUUUUUGACUAGGUUUGACCGAGUGUUAAACAGAGGGGUUUUUAGAAGAACUCGGCUAGGAUGAAUGGCCAAUUUGUGGUUCGACUAGUCGAACCGGCCGGUCUAGUCCGAGUUUAACAACAAUGCCCAACAGGGCGUGUCGGUGAGUAGAGGAUGCGUCGUAAUGCGCUAAUAAUUCGCUCCACCAUCAGAAACGUUUACACCGUCAUGCCGUGCCCACGGCUACUUGCCGGAGAGCUCAUGUUUCGAGUUUGAAGGCCGACAAGGCAACAUGAUGCGCACGCACCUAUAUAGAUGAUGUAUUAAUAUUCUCUGAAUCCAUAGAACAACAUUUUAAACAUUUGAAUAUAUUUUUAAAAAUAAUUAAGAAAAAUGGAUUAGUGGUUUCUGCUCCAAAAAUGAAAUUAUUUCAAACCAAAAUAAGAUUUUUAGGACACAAUAUAUAUCAAGGAACAAUAAAACCAAUUAAUAGAGUUUUAGAAUUUGCAACUAAAUUUCCAGAUGAAAUAAAAGAUAAAAAUCAAUUACAAAGGUUUUUAGGAUGCUUAAAUUAUAUAGCAGAUUUUUUCCCUAAUUUAAGAAAAGAAUGUUCUAUAUUAUUUAAUAGAUUAAAGAAAAAUCCAAAACCUUGGACAAAUGAACAUACUCAAAAAAUAAAAUUUUAAAAGGAAAAAAUAGAGUCAUUACCUUGUUUAUGUUUACCUCAUCCUAAAGCAUUCAUGAUAGUUGAUAGAAUCAGAAUAUAAAGAAAAAUUAAUAUUAGAAUGGAAAGAUGAAUUAGAAAAGAGAAAAUUUGAUUUUCCUUUCUUUACUUGGCUAUCAUUCUAUAUUGAAAAAAUAGGAAUAAAUGAUGUUUAUAAUACACCACAAAUAAAUGUUCAAAAUAAUUUAUAUAAAAAAUAGAAAUUAAAAGACGAUCAAUUAUUAACUUCAAUACAUCCCCCAUUACAAGAAGUAAAAAUUAAUAUAGGACAAGGAGAUUAAUUUCUGGUUGAAGAUCUUUAGUAGUUUCUUUUUUCAUUAUAUUUAUAUUUGGAUAUUUAUCUAUUAAUUUGGAAAUGCUAAAAGGUUCUAUUAUCCUAGGCAAUUUAUCUUCUUGAAUGAUUAAGCUUUUUAAUCUUUCUAAGUAUUCUUUUUUAGCUAUUGGAUCAUUAAUUUUUUCUAUAAUAUCUAAUAAAAAUUCUUUAUCUUCUUUUUUAGUUAUAACAUUUAUAUAUUUAGAACAAUUACAAUUUUCUUCACUUUCUGAACUAGAAAUAUCAUCAUAACAUUCUUCAUCGUAACUUUGCUCUUUUUCAUUUACUAGUAGAUUUAUUAAUUUACUUUUUAUCUCUUCAUCUUCUGCACAAAUUUCAUUAAUUUUUUCUUUUAGAGUACAUUUGUUUGCUUUAUGACCUACUUUUCAACAUUUAUAACAAACAAUUUUCUUUUUAACAAAUUUUCUUGUUCUUUCUGGUUUAUCUUCUUUAGGUCUUUUAUAUUUUAUUUUCUUAUUAUAUUUUUUAACUUUCUUUUUGUAUGAUGAUGGUGAUUUAAUUUAUUUAAUUCCAAAUGCAUCACAAAAUGAUCCUACUUCUUUUGUUGUUAUAACUAAAAAAGAAGAUAAAGAAUUUUUAUUAGAUAUUAUAGAAAAAUUAAUGAUCCAAUAGCUAAAAAAGAAUACUUAGAAAGAUUAAAAAGCUUAAUCAUUCAAGAAGAUAAAAUGCCUAGGAUAAUAGAACCUUUUAGCAUUUCCAAAUUAAUAGAUAAAUAUCCAAAUAUAAAUAUAAUGAAAAAAGAAACUACUAAAGAUCUUCAAUCAGAAAUUAAUAACCUAAAGAUACAAGUAAAACAAUUACAACAAGAAAUUAUAGAAUUAAAAACAAAAGAUUUAGAGAUAGAAGCAAAAAUAGCAUUAAUAAAUAAUCAGCCCUCAACCUCUAAUUCUAAAACAGAAGAAAUAUUAAUAUCAGAAAAACCAGUAGAAGAAGCUCAAUAUUUAAAUACUAUAGAAAAAAUGACAUUUCAAAAAUGGUUUGCUUUAGUAACCAUUACAGUAGAAGAUUUUAAAGAAAUAUAUGUAACUCUAAUAGAUAGUGGAGCUGAUGCCGUGGAUAUUUUGCUGGAGUUUCAAAAUUCAUCAAGAAUUAGAAAAACUACUUCCAAUGUCAUUAGUUCGAGAAUUCAAGAUUAAAUGGUGGACAGAAUUCAAUCAACAGUUCGGAGAUCAAACAAACGUGAUAAGAUUCCUCACCACAGGAGACAAACUCAAAUGGACAAACCAAUCAACCACUACAACAACUUUGCCAACCACUUCAACAACUAUGCCAACAACUCCAAUAAAGAAAGAAAAAGAAAAAGUUGUUAAUAUGGUAUCCGAAGCCAUUACAAACGACUUUCUGAUGAAAAAGAUGAUGCAGGACCCAAAGAUGCUCAAAGAAUAUUUGGACUAUUUGCAAAAGCAGGAUAAGAAUGAAGAAACCGACAAAAUUGAGGAGUCAGCAAGAUCAUCCGAAUCUACUUUUGAUCUUUUCGGAGGACCAUGCGGGCAAGAUCCAAAUGACUUUUGAAAAAAGAUGUCGGCCACAUUCCAAAGAAAAAGUAAAUAAAACUCAAAUGAAGAUGAAAUGCAAGCUCGAAGAACUCUAUACAUAGAUUCAAAAUCAGAAGAAGAAGCAUCGAGAAAAAAUCGGUGAAAUCCUCCGGUGUAAACCUCUUAGAAAAUCCCUUACCCACUCUCAACUACUCUCAAACCACUCUCAACUACUCCCAACUACUCUUGUACUCAUACCCUUGUAUCAUUCUCCAAAGAUUUUAAUAAAGAGAUCAAAGUUGGAUUCAACAAAUAUCAAGCUUCCGUUAGCAACUCUAAUUCUUGUAAGUGCAAGUUUAAUACCAAUUUUUUAUGUUCGUUUCAAGUUAUAGUAACCUGGGUAGAAGUGGUAUCAGAGCCACAUGAAAUUUUACAUGCACAUGCAUAUUUAAGAUUUUGAACUACUAUUACUAUUUGAAUUACGUUUCUAUUUAGACUUGGCUAAUUCAUGCAUUUAUGUUUACAUAUUUUAUUAAACUUUUACUGAAAUCAUUGGUAAGACUUUGAUGCCUUGUUAGACCGUUGGUAAGUCCAGGAUAGGAUGUUCCCAGCAUAGCGCUCAGUUGUUCCUGAUUAGGUAAAACUUUAAUUAAAAUAUACAACAUGGCUGCAUUUCUUAGACAAUUAAAAAUAGGAUCUAAUUCAAAGCAAGAUAAUAUAGUACAAAGUCAUGAAUAUUAUAUGCCUGUUAAUAAUUCAGAUUGGACCAUUCCAAAAGAAAAAAUAGAACAUAUUUAUAGAAUAGGCCCUUUAGAUUUCAAAACAGCCUUAUCAGUUAAAACACAUGAAGAAACAAUAUCUAUUCAAGAAGAAUAUCAAUUUAUUCCAUUAUUAAAUCAUAGUACAAUUCAAAAAUAUUUAAGUAAAGGAUAUCGAUAUAUUCAUAUAGGUUUAAUACAAAUUGCUGUAAAACCUUUAUUCCAUCUAGGAGUCGAUGCUCCAAUAUAUUUAGCAUUAAGAGACACUAGACUCAAACGAUAUAAAACCUCUUUACUAUCUAUGAUUCAAACAAAUGUUUGCAAUGGACCCAUAUAUUUUAACUGUGCUCCAAAUUUUUCAAUAGAUCUAACAGACCCACAUAUUUUAAAUUCAGUCAUUUUAAAUAUUCAUCUACAAGGAAAUGAAUUUGAAAAACAUACAAAGAAUUUUGCAGUAAUAUAUAGAAUAUAUUAUAGACCAUUAUCCUCACAUUUAAAUCCUAAGUUUAUAAUGACUCCAACUCUUAAAGAAGAAACAACUUUAUUACAAGUAGAUGCUGAUAGACCUACUACUUAUACUCCAAAAAGAUUAAAAUGGAAUGAAAUAACUAUACCUAGUGAAUUUGAAAUACAAAAUCCACAAAUAGCUAGAAAUGUAGAGCAGACUACUGUAAUUAUUGCACAAUAUUUUUAACUUGAAAUGAACAUAAAAAAUUGGUAUUAAACUUGCACUUACAAGAAUUAGAGUUGCUAUAGAUCAUUAAAUACAAAAAUCCAUUAAUUCAAAUAAACGAAUUAAAGAAAAAGUCCCCAAUAAAGCUCUUGCACAUGUUUUGCCUGAAAUUUAACAAAUAGAUCAUAUAAAAUUAAAUUAGUGAGUGCUUCCACAUUACUGGUCAUUUACACUUUUCCCUUUCUUCUUAUACUUCAAUGAAUCUAUACAUCAAAAUUAGAUAGCAUUUACCCCAAUAAUGCAAUUCUGACUUUUAAAGGAUGCAUUUUUGUAGCACAAGCAAAUUUAUCUUCAAAAAGUGAACAUUUUAGUUUGCACCAAAUUAGUCAGUUGCAGAACAUUAACUUACUUGAUUAAACAAAUAUCACUCCAACCCUUUUUUUCAACCAACCUUCCCAACUUCUGCAACUCUGCCGAGGAUCGGAUGGAGAACCGGAGAAGACAGCAGGAAUUGAUUCAGAAUAUAUAGGGAGUUAGGUUUGGACUCUUUGGACAAAGCAUAGGAGAGGAGACUGGAAAUUGCUGUAUAGCGCUUGUACUCUCUAGUAGGAACUUACUUGGGAAUUUCGGAUGUGCCGUCGGCAAUGGCGACAAAGAUCGGCGGCGGCAAGAAGAUAGAAACAAAGCAGUAGAGAUUUUAGAAAUUUAAGGUUUGAGUGAAAUGAAGUCCGGGGUGUCAAAUUAGGAAUUUGGCUUGGGAUAACUCGUGAAAGCCUGAAAAGUCAACAAAAGACAAAUUUAAAAAAAAAACACCGAUUCUUGCCAGUUUUAAUGGUUCACGGUUCAACCCAAUUUUUGACUAGGUUUGACCGAGUGUUAAACAGAGGGGUUUUUAGAAGAACUCGGCCAGGAUAAAUGGCCAAUUUGUGGUUCGACUAGUCGAACCGGCCGGUCUGGUCCGAGUUUAACAACAAUGCCCAACAGGGCGUGUCGGUGAGUAGAGGAUGCGUGGUAAUGCGCUAAUAAUUCGCUCCACCAUCAGAAACGUUUACACCGUCAUGCCGUGCCCACGACUACUUGCCGGAGAGCUCAUGUUUCGAGUUUGAGGGCCGACAAGGCAACAUGAUGCGCACGCACCUAGAGGACACGUUGUAACUCGUAAUUAGUCAACUUUAUCAUCAGAAGAGUUUCAACCAACAAAACAUGCCCACGUCUUGUUCCAACAAAGGAGAAGUAAAAAAAAAAUAGAGAGACAAAAAGAUUUUUUUUUUCUUUCUUUCUUUCCUUUUCUUUUUCUUUUUCUCUUUCCUUUCUUUCUCUCUUCUUUUUUUUCCUCUCUUCUUUCUUCGCUUUCCAUUUUCUUUGCCAUAGCUGUUCGUCUUUCUUCACCACCGACUAUUAAGUCCCAAGAAAGGUCACCGUUGCUAUUAGACCAAUUUCAUCCCCCUCUAAUUUGCUUCACCGUCGGCAAUCGUAGCCCCUAAAAUUUGUCUGCCGAAUUGGUGCACCACUAAAGGAGAUUUCUCACCUGUAUGGACAAGUCCAUCAAAUGGAUGAUCGGUUGGCUAAUGUAGAGCUUUACAUGUCUUUUGCCUCUAACCUAUAGCUGUGCCACAGCCCCCUGAUGAUCAGGGAAGUUUCAUUGCUCCCUUCCUCUACUUUUAUUUUUUUUAUUUCUUACAUUAGGGACAAUGUAAGAUUUAGGUGUGGGGGGUAGUAUAUGAUAUUAUAUUAGAAAAGUACAAGUGUAGGCAUUUUUGUUGGAAUUUUUGUUCAACUUUGUCGAAUUUUAUCCAAUUUUUGCCACUUCUUGCAUAUUUUUGUGGUUAUUCCUGAUUAACAAUGGCUAGAUAUUUCAAAAUUUUCUAUUGCUAAGGUUUUAUGUGUUAAUGUAUCAAGUAUAGCAUGGUUAAGUCGAAGCGUAUCUCUCUGGCGAAUAUUUGAGAUUUGUGACUUUUACCAUUUUUGAUUAACUUUUCUAGGUAUUGUAAAUAUUUGUCUAUCAUUUUUCAUGUAAAUUGAUUCAACUAUUAAUCUUAGUUCUCCAUGUUUGGGAGAUGAAGCGGACUUGUGAUGUAUCUUUAAUUUUAUUUUGUUGCUAAUAUGUGAAUCAUAUUUGGUUAUACUACGCUGGUUAUCAUUGCCUAGUAACCGAGGAUUUUUGCCAAAAGUAUCGACUUUCACGUCAAAAGGUGGCGAUAGCUAUGAGUAUGUGUCAUUAAGUGAUGAGAGUUGAGUACCGGGCUCCUUCAUUUAGUAGAUGUUAGAGUUUGCGUCAAAAGCUUUGAAUGGUUAAGGACUAAGUUUUUUCUCCCGAAUUUAAAAAAAAAAACUCAAGUGUGGGGAUAUUUUAAAAAAGAAAAAAAGAUGUGCUAAUAGUGAAAAAUGUCAAAGUAUAUUUUGCUUAAUAGUCGAACCAUUUGCUAACAAAUGCUAGUUGAAUAUUUUAUAUCCUUAGAUUGGUUAGUCAGAAAUUGAGAGAGUCUUAAGUUAUAAAAGCUAAUCAGAGAGAUAUCUUGGAGACUAGCCACUAGUGCUUGACAUGUAUUUUAAUUGUAUCUUGGCAAUGGGUAAUUUGAGUGAUAGCCAUUGUUUGAACUUGUUUGUUUGAUUUGUUGUUUCUCAAGUUUGAGGAUAAGCAUGAUCUAGGUGUGGGGAGAAUUGAUAGAGUGCAAAAUUGUUAUUCAAUUUAUAAUUAUUUUUCCCUUGAUUUAGUUAAAUAUUGUAUUAAUUGAUUGAUUCUAGUUAUAUUUUGUAUUUGGUGCUAAUUGUAGGGAAGUGGAGCAAAAAGUGAUAAAAAAGGUGAUUUUUCAAAAAUUACUUUCAAGUCCAGAAGACUCAAGAAUUUAUCAUGCAUGGAGAUUUCCCAGCUUGAGUUAAAUACGGAUAUCUUUGGUGGAAUUUGGAAGACUUUAAUUAUUUUUGUUAGUUGUAGAGUUGAAUUAGGAAACAUGAGUUAUUAUUAUUUUUAUUUCCUUUUUUCUAAUUAGGCAAUAGGCCUUUAUUAUGAGUAGUAGAAGCGAAGUAGGAAACAAAGAAUAAGGGAAGCCAAAUUCCCGUUUCAUUAGUACUUCGUAGGGUAGAAAGAAUAAAAAAUGAGUCAUGACUCUUUUGUUAGAGAGGAGAAGAACGGCCGCUUGGCCUUUCUGUUCGUCUUUUCUCGAGUUUUCUUUUUUUGUCGAACGUUCAUGCAAUUUUCUUCAAUGGGAUUGCUUGGGUUGUUCUCAAUGGAGAAUAGCUGAAUUUCUUUUUCUUGUCGAAGGUUAACUUGAAGACUCAGUUCCAAACAUUUGUAAGCUCGAAUUAUUUUACUUAUUUCUUUUAUUCAUUGGUAUUCGUACAUUUUUUGGUUUAACUUCUUAUGAUUGUUGUGUUAUUUGAAUGUCAAGGGCCCAAUAUUCGAAUUAAUCAAUAAUCUACUAUCAAAUUAACCGGUUGAAUCCGUAAUUGUUAGAUUGGUUAAUCCGUAAUUGAAUCCGUAAUUGUUAGCGUGAUUGGUCUCAUAUUAGGGAAACAUGUGAUCUAAUUUAAAUAAAUCCUUGUAGCGUGUUUGUUGCUUAGGGUUUGACUUUUCUAAUUCUUAAUGCAAUCGAGAAAUUAAUUUUUACAGUUAUACCUAGGGUUGAUUCUUGGUUAGAGAAAUAGUCAAAGAUCGUAUUUUGUGUGGCGACCCCACUUCCCCCUAAGGCGAACCAGAGGGUUGGCGGGCCGUCUGCCUAACUCUCGCCAGGACUCACGCAAGCAAGCUAGCAAAAAAUCCUUCCGAAGUAUAACCUAAUCUAUUACAACAUCGUUUCCCUCCAAAUAGGCCGGUUUCUAGAAUCACAUUAACUUCAGAGAUAACAGUGCCUUAAGAUAGCCAACGUCGAUUCUUAAAAUACCUUCCCGAAUACACCCCAAGAAACAAAACAUCAAUUCAAAUACAUCCAUACAAGCCAAGUAACAAAUUUAUACCAGCCACAUACAAAUCCAGGGUUUACACUUUUCCAACUUCAAGUGGCAACCUAAGGCAAAACUACAAUGUUUAACUCGAAUUACAUUCAUGAAAGUAAACAAUCUAGUACUACUUCCGAGCACAUUUGAGACAGCUAC